GCGCCGCCGCUGCCCCUACCUGGUCGGGCUCUUCUUGUCUCCCAUGCCGGCUCCAGACGCGUCCCGGCCCGGCCCCGACGCGGCCCUUUGAAUACAAGAGGAGACCACUCACAGCAUCAAGCCAUCCCAUGUCAUCUCUUCAACUGAAACAGUGAUGGAAGGCAUUACUUAGCAGCAGUGCUGGAAAGCAUAUGUAAGAGGUGGCAGGCUUCCCACGGAAUUAGUGCCAAAGGAAGAACAGCAGCCCAAAGGAGAUUUCACAGUUUACAGCAAUAUUUAAAGCAUUCUGAAACUGUUUAGGAAAUAUGGCUGAAAGUCAUAUGGCUUCUUGGUCCUACAUACCAUUUUUUAAAGGCUGUCAGAGAAAAAAAAAUAAAUACUGGAACUAAAGCCUCUAAGCCAGUUCCAUGCUUAGUUUAGUGCUCCAACACUGCUUCAAGAUAGCACACACCUACUGCAAUGGCUGGAUUCACAAAUGCCACAAGCUGCCUUUGGAUCAAAAGUGCUGUUCAAUUUUUAUCACUAUAAAUCUCUUUUAUGAAUUCCUUCAGAUUUACUCUGAGAUUGGAAUUUGACUUAGAGGCAUUAUCUUUGACUAAUGAUGGGAAAAGGGCGAAUGUGUCUGCAUUGUGGGAUCAGUAGGAAAAAUAGAUAUUGGAGAUGUACUGAUUUUUUCAGAUGUAAUAGAAGUAAUGAAUGAAUAAACCAACCUUCUGUCAGAAAAAAAAAACCACACAAAGAUGCUUAGUCUUUGGGAAGAAUACAUUUUCUAUGUGUAGUAAAAAAUAUAUUUCACUGCUUAUAAUUAUAUAUACACACAUACAAACACAGAGACAUGGGUACCUAAACAUUCAAAAGAAUUGAAAUUUUUUCUUGAAAGGUAUUCCGUAUCAGCUCACUACAUUUUCAUUAUGAAAUAUUCUGAGGUCUCCAUGAGAGACCUCAUGAGUCCUUUUUUCCCAAUUUCCAUAUUAUUCUAGGUAAGGAAGAUAAUGAUGAAUGUCACAGAAGUGCAGCAUGCAGGAGUGCUGGAGUCUGCCUGGGACACUAGCCAGAAUAGCACUGCAACAGCACCUGACAGAUAAAAUUAAAGCAUGAAUCAUAAUCUCUGGUCUGCCAAACUGAGCUUUAUUCAAGUUGUAGCUGUAAGAUGGAUCACAGUUUGAUGGCAUGUCCUGAAGCUAACUAUCCCUUAAUUUCCAAUGGUGUUGUGAGAAGGUUGUGUAUUGGCACAAAUGUGGGUUUGUGUGAUGAGAAUUGAGUGAAGAGAGUUCAAAUCAUAAUGGUUUCUGUUGUGUAAAUUUAAAUGA